rnacentral:lncRNA from 1 species
UGUACUAAUAUACCUUUUAUGUGUUUUCAGUCUUGGCAUACUUAAAAUAGCUUUCUUGAGACCAUGUUACUUUAGCUAUGUCAUGUGUUUUGCAUGGAAGAACUUGCUCCUCUUUUAAAAGGUUUUAUUCUAGCCCAGUAUGGACGUUGUCCAUGUGGGAACCUUCUAUAUUAAGGGUUCAGUAAACAACUUUGAAGGGAAAAGUCUCUGAUGAGCUAGAAUUUUGUUGGUUGUUCUUCGUAGAACUUCAUUCUAACCACUAGCAUAAAAAUAGUUGAUAUUUUUGUUAGAUUUUGAUGCCUUGAGAUUCGGUCUACAUUGAGAUCACAGCA